rnacentral:ncRNA from 2 species
GUCGCACCACGUGGCGAUUUGUGAACCGGAUUGCGGGCCACGCUAAACAACCCGCUAAAGAGGUCGAGGCGUGCGCCCA